GUAUGGGAAAUGUAGGUGACAGUGUAGGGAACGAAAGGUUGACGUAUGGGAAAUGUAGUUGACAAUGUAGUAAACGAAAGGUUGACGUAUGGGAAAUGUAGUUGACAGUGUAGGGAACGAAAGGUUGACGUAUGGGAAAUGUAGUUGACAGUGUAGGGAACGAAAGGUUGACGUAUGGGAAAUGUAGUUGACAGUGUAGGGAACGGAAGGUUGACGUAUGGGAAAUGUAGUUGACAGUGUAGGGAACGAAAGGUUGACGUAUGGGAAAUGUAGUUGACAGUGUAGGGAACGAAAGGUUGACGUAUGGGAAAUGUAGUUGACAGUGUAGGGAACGAAAGGUUGACGUAUGGGAAAUGUAGUUGACAGUGUAGGGAACGAAAGGUUGACGUAUGGGAAAUGUAGUUGACAGUGUAGGGAACGAAAUGUUGACGUAUGGGAAAUGUAGCUGACAGUGUAGGAACGG
rnacentral:lncRNA from 1 species